AAUCAACGCUGGCGGCGUGCCUCAGACAUGCAAGUCGAACGAUUAAGACUCCCUUCGGGGAGUGCAUAAAGUGGCGCACGGGUGAGUAACACGUAAGUAAUCUACCCUCGGGUGGGGAAUAACGUCCGGAAACGGACGCUAAUACCGCAUAAUGCAGCGGCACCGCAAGGUGACAGUUGUUAAAGAUUUAUUGCCUGGGGAGGAGCUUGCGGCAGAUUAGCUUGUUGGUAAGGAACGGCUUACCAAGGCUACGAUCUGUAUCCGGUCUAAGAGGACGGUCGGACACACUGACACUGAAUAACGGGUCAGACUCCUACGGGAGGCAGCAGUCGGGAAUUUUGGGCAAUGGGGGGAAACCCUGACCCAGCAACGCCGCGUGAAGGAUGAAGUAUUUCGGUAUGUAAACUUCGAAAGAAUAGGAAGAAUUAAUGACGUACUAUUUAUAAGGUCCGGCUAACUACGUGCCAGCCGCCGCGGU
rnacentral:rRNA from 1 species